ACUAUUUAACAACAUAGUGAAGGCUUUUAUAGUAACUAUCUCGUACCAUCAUGACUAAGGUAAUGGAGAAUAGAAUUAUCUUUGGCCUAUCUGGAAUAGAAUUUUUAAUCUUUUCAAUAAGGAAAGCCCUUCUUCUUGCAAAAUGGGCAUAUAAAGAAAGAUAGGUGCCCCGAGCGGAGGCAGUCAACCAUCAAAGCGCUAAGCCCCUGACUCUUAGAAUUAGAACGGGUUACACACGCUUCAAGUUUCG
rnacentral:lncRNA from 1 species